rnacentral:rRNA from 1 species
GACGAACGCUGGCGGCGUGCUAACACAUGCAAGUCGAACGGAAAGGCCCUGCUUUUGUGGGGUGCUCGAGUGGCGAACGGGUGAGUAACACGUGAGUAACCUGCCCUUGACUUUGGGAUAACUUCAGGAAACUGGGGCUAAUACCGGAUAGGAGCUCCUGCUGCAUGGUGGGGGUUGGAAAGUUUCGGCGGUUGGGGAUGGACUCGCGGCUUAUCAGCUUGUUGGUGGGGUAGUGGCUUACCAAGGCUUUGACGGGUAGCCGGCCUGAGAGGGUGACCGGCCACAUUAGGACUGAGAUACGGCCCAGACUCCUACGGGAGGCAGCAGUGGGGAAUAUUGCACAAUGGGCGGAAGCCUGAUGCAGCAACGCCGCGUGCGGGAUGACGGCCUUCGGGUUGUAAACCGCUUUCGCCUGUGACGAAGCGUGAGUGACGGUAAUGGGUAAAGAAGCACCGGCUAACUACGUG